rnacentral:rRNA from 1 species
UAGGGAAUAUUUGGACAAUGGAGGGAACUCUGAUCCACCCAUGCCGCGUGAAGGAUGAAGGCGCUCACCGUUGUAAACUUCUUUUGGAUGGGAACAAUAACUUCUACGUGUAGGAGCUUGAGGGUACCAUCAGAAUAAGCACCGGCUAACUCCGUGCCAGCAGCCCCCGGGUAAUACAAA